AAAAAAGCUCACAACUCAUCGUAUGAAGCAAGAAGACUGAGUGAGGAAAAAUUGCCAAUUUUCUUUCACCAGAUAUUGAUGAUGGUUUUUUUGAAGGUUGAAAGAAGGAAAUGGAAAAGCAGAGAACUGAUUUUUGGCUUUGGUGUUUUCUUUCAGCUCACACGACAGGAGGAAAAGAUUGAUGCUUCCCUUGAGGUUCUUAUCUUAUCCUUGCUAAUGAUGAAUUGGGGGAUGCUCUCACAUAUGAGGAAGUCGCUUUGGUUAAACCAAUCUAGGAGCUGGAACAGGUAGCAAAGAGAUUGAUGUAUGAAGCAUACCAAAGACGUUGUGCAGUGUCAAGGAGAUUCCUCUCACAUUAGAUGUGGAAGCACCCUUCCUCCGCUUGAUGCUAAGGUUUGGUUUUCUACAAGAGUGGAAGAUGAAGUGCAAUAAAAUCAAGUGGUUCACAAUGAUAGAAAAUCAUAGUGUUGUGCUAUUGAAGGUUAUGUAAACAAAUUCAUUAGAAUGUGAAUAUGUACUACAUACUAUCACCUUCUAACAUAGAGCUAUAUCUGAAAGCUUAGUUUUUACAGUGGUUGAAUUUAGCUAGAAAACAUGCCUUGUUUGAUUUUUUAAAGAAACAUUGGCUAAAGUCAACUAUGAUUACAAGGUAUGCAUAGUGCUUGGUAGUGGAUGUGUAACUAUAUUUGGUAGUGAUACUUUGUCAAGGUGUUUUAAAUUUCAUCAAUGAUCGGCUAGAAUCCUGUUUUCUUCUUC